AAUGGGGGCAACCCUGACGCAGCAAUACCGCGUGAGUGAAGAAGGUUUUCGGAUCGUAAAGCUCUGUUAUUGGGGAAGAAAAAAGACGGUACCCAAGAAGAAAGUCCCGGCUAACUACGUGCCAGCAGCCGCGGUAAUACGUAGGGGACAAGCGUUGUCCGGAUUUACUGGGCGUAAAGGGCACGCAGGCGGUUUUUAAGUCAGAUGUGAAAGGUACCGGCUCAACCGGUGACAUGCAUUUGAAACUGAAAGACUUGAGUAUUGGAGAGGCAAGUGGAAUUCCUAGUGUAGCGGUGAAAUGCGUAGAGAUUAGGAAGAACACCAGUGGCGAAGGCGACUUUCUGGACCGUAACUGACGCUGAGGCAUGAAAGCGUGGGGAGCAAA
rnacentral:rRNA from 1 species